UAUUCCUACGGGGCGCAGCAGUGGGGAAUAUUGCACAAUGGGGGAAACCCUGAUGCAGCGAUGCCGCGUGGAGGAAGAAGGUUUUCGGAUUGUAAACUCCUUUUAUCAGGGACGAUAAUGACGGUACCUGAAGAAAAAGCAUCGGCUAACUCCGUGCCAGCAGCCGCGGUAAUACGGAGGAUGCGAGCGUUAUCCGGAUUUAUUGGGUUUAAAGGGUGCGUAGGCGGAAUGCCAAGUCAGCGGUAAAAUCGCGGGGCUCAACCUCGCUCCGCCGUUGAAACUGGCGUUCUUGAGUGGGCGAGAAG
rnacentral:rRNA from 1 species